CACGAUAAAUGGCAAACCUCCCGAAAGGUAGGGACGCAAAGCUACAGGGCCUUCCCGUCAGGAUGGCAGCCAGCUGCCGAA
rnacentral:ncRNA from 1 species